rnacentral:rRNA from 1 species
AUUGAACGCUGGCGGCAUGCCUUACACAUGCAAGUCGAACGGCAGCACGGGAGCAAUCCUGGUGGCGAGUGGCGAACGGGUGAGUAAUAUAUCGGAAACGUGCCCAGUAGUGGGGGAUAGCCCGGCGAAAGCCGGAUUAAUACCGCAUACGACCCUGUGGGUGAAAGCGGGGGAUCGCAAGACCUCGCGCUAUUGGAGCGGCCGAUAUCAGAUUAGCUAGUUGGUGGGGUAAAGGCCUACCAAGGCGACGAUCUGUAGCUGGUCUGAGAGGACGACCAGCCACACUGGGGACUGAGACACGGCCCAGACUCCUACGGGAGGCAGCAGUGGGGAAUUUUGGACAAUGGCGCAAGCCUGAUCCAGCCAUGCCGCGUGGU